GACGAACGCUGGCGGCGUGCCUAAUACAUGCAAGUCGAGCGAUGAAGAUUGGUGCUUGCACCAAUUUGAAGAGCAGCUAACGGGUGAGUAACGCGUGGGGAAUCUGCCUUUGAGCGGGGGACAACAUUUGGAAACGAAUGCUAAUACCGCAUAACAACUUUAAACAUAAGUUUUAAGGUUGAAAGAUGCAAUUGCAUCACUCAAAGAUGAUCCCGCGUUGUAUUAGCUAGUUGGUGAGGUAAAGGCUCACCAAGGCGAUGAUACAUAGCCGACCUGAGAGGGUGAUCGGCCACAUUGGGACUGAGACACGGCCCAAACUCCUACGGGAGGCCGCAGUAGGGAAUCUUCGGACAUGGACGAAAGUCUGACCGAGCAACGCCGCGUGAGUGAAGAAGGUUUUCGGAUCGUAAAACUCUGUUGGUAGGGAAGAACGUUGGUGAGAGUGGAACGCUCAUCAAGUGACGGUACCUAACCAGAAAGGAACGGCUAACUACGUG
rnacentral:rRNA from 1 species